rnacentral:rRNA from 1 species
UACGUAGGGGGCAAGCGUUGUCCGGAAUUAUUGGGCGUAAAGAGCGUGUAGGCGGCCAUGUAGGUCCGUUGUGAAAACUCGAGGCUCAACCUCGAGACGCCGAUGGAAACCAUAUGGCUAGAGUCCGGAAGAGGAGAGUGGAAUUCCUGGUGUAGCGGUGAAAUGCGCAGAUAUCAGGAAGAACACCCGUGGCUAAGGCGGCUCUCUAGUACGGUACUGACGCUGAGACGCGAAAGCGUGGGGAGCGAACAGG